GAUUAUGGCUCAGGAUGAACGCUAGCUACAGGCUUAACACAUGCAAGUCGAGGGGCAGCAUGGCUUAGCUUGCUAAGAUUGAUGGCGACCGGCGCACGGGUGAGUAACGCGUAUCCAACCUUCCCUAUAGUAGGGGAUAGCCCGUAGAAAUGCGGAUUAAUACCCUAUGUUGUAUUUCGAUGACAUCUGACGAAUACCAAAGGUUCACCGCUAUAGGAUGGGGAUGCGUCUGAUUAGGUAGUCGGCGGGGUAACGGCCCACCGAGCCAACGAUCAGUAGGGGUUCUGAGAGGAAGGCCCCCCACAUUGGAACUGAGACACGGUCCAAACUCCUACGGGAGGCAGCAGUGAGGAAUAUUGGUCAAUGGGCGAGAGCCUGAACCAGCCAAGUAGCGUGCCAGGAUGACGGCCCUAUGGGUUGUAAACUGCUUUUAUGCGGGGAUAAAGUGAGGGACGUGUCCCUUAUUGUAGGUACCGCAUGAAUAAGGACCGGCUAAUUCCGUGCCAGCCGCAGC
rnacentral:rRNA from 1 species